AACGCACGAGACCUGCGGACCUGCGGAAGGAUCAUUAAUGAUUUUUCGGGGAUGUGCUGGCAUGGGGGGGGCAACCUCCUUUGCAUGUGCACUCCUUUCAAAAUCUUCCACACUCUCCUGUGCACCGUCUGGUAGACAAUGCUCCAAGUCGGAGCUAGUCUAUGUCAGCUUUUAUCACAUCUUUAUCACUGAAAAAAUUGAUUGUAACAAUAUAAAAAUGUACAAUACAACUUUUAGCAA
rnacentral:misc_RNA from 1 species